UUACGGAAUUGUAAGCCCAUAGGUAGAACAAACAAUUUUUUUUUCUUUAUACCGUUCCACAUAAUUCUAAGAAAACUGUAAAAAAAUCUAUAUCCCUAAUUUUUCUCCCACUAACAUUUCCAUGUUCAUUUUCUAUUUAACUCCAAUAAGUUCAGUUUUUCUCUACUCGAUCUUUCUUUGUAUUCAUCUCCAUCAUUGUUUAUUCGUCUCCAUCAUUUUUUCUUCUGGUUGCAUAGAUUUGCUCACACUAUCACGGUCGUGAUGAAAUAUGUCACGUUUUCAAAUUGUUUGAUCUCAAAUUUAACUCUCAGUCAACUCAACUUCUUAUUUAUUUUAUCUUCCUUACCAUAGUUUUAUUUUCUGCAAAUUCUCAUAUUAAUCCCUUUUUUGGUUUCUCAUCUCUAUUUUGUCGGUCUCUCUUCCCCUUCCUCUUCGUCGUCUCAUCUGCGUGUUUGUCAUAUUCACAGAAUUUAGCAAAGAAGCUGAUCCAGGUUUAUGACUACUCUUUUAUUCAAUUUCAUUAUCUUUAUGUCAUAUUAAAAUUUCUCUGAUUUUACAUGAUUCAGGUUAAAGAUGCCAAUGCC
rnacentral:lncRNA from 1 species